AGGACGAACGCUGGCGGCGUGCUUAACACAUGCAAGUCGAGCGGAAAGGCCCUUCGGGGUACUCGAGCGGCGAACGGGUGAGUAACACGUGAGCAACCUGCCCCUGGCUCUGGGAUAGCCUCCGGAAACGGGGAUUAAUACCGGAUAUUCACUGUCUCCUGCAUGGGGGGUGGUGGAAAGUUUUUCGGCUAGGGUGGGCUCGCGGCCUAUCAGCUUGUUGGGGGGGUGACGGCCCACCAAGGCGACGACGGGUAG
rnacentral:rRNA from 1 species